rnacentral:rRNA from 1 species
UAAGGAAUAUUGGUCAAUGGACGCAAGUCUGAACCAGCCAUGCCGCGUGAAGGAUGAAGGCCCUCUGGGUUGUAACCUUCUUUUACAGGGGAAGAAAUCCGGGAAUUCUUUUCCGGUUGACGGUACCCUGGGAAUAAGCACCUGCUAACUCCGUGCCAGCAGCCGCGGUAAUACGGAGGGUGCAAGCGUUAUCCGGAUUCACUGGGUUUAAAGGGUGCGUAGGAGGGCAGGUAAGUCAGUGGUGAAAUCUCCGGGCUUAACUCGGAAACUGCCGUUGAUACUAUCUGUCUUGAAUCUUGUGGAGGUGAGCGGAAUAUGUCAUGUAGCGGUGAAAUGCUUAGAUAUGACAUAGAACACCAAUUGCGAAGGCAGCUCACUACACAAACAUUGACUCUGAGGCACGAAAGCGUGGGGAUCAAAC